UCAUCAACCCUGUGACAUACCUAUAACGUUGCCUCGGCGGGAACAGACGGCCCCGUAACACGGGCCGCCCCCGCCAGAGGACCCCCUAACUCUGUUUCUAUAAUGUUUCUUCUGAGUAAACAAGCAAAUAAAUUAAAACUUUCAACAACGGAUCUCUUGGCUCUGGCAUCGAUGAAGAACGCAGCGAAAUGCGAUAAGUAAUGUGAAUUGCAGAAUUCAGUGAAUCAUCGAAUCUUUGAACGCACAUUGCGCCCGCCAGUAUUCUGGCGGGCAUGCCUGUUCGAGCGUCAUUACAACCCUCAGGCCCCCGGGCCUGGCGUUGGGGAUCGGCGGAAGCCCCCUGCGGGCACAACGCCGUCCCCCAAAUACAGUGGCGGUCCCGCCGCAGCUUCCAUUGCGUAGUAGCUAACACCUCGCAACUGGAGAGCGGCGCGGCCACGCCGUAAAACACCCAACUUCUGAAUGUUGACCUCGAAUCAGGUAGGAAUACCCGCUGAACUUAAGCAU
rnacentral:rRNA from 1 species